GGCUGAGGAUGAACGCUGGCGGCGUGCUUAACACAUGCAAGUCGAACGAUGAUCUCCAGCUUGCUGGGGGGAUUAGUGGCGAACGGGUGAGUAACACGUGAGUAACCUGCCCUUGACUCUGGGAUAAGCCUGGGAAACUGGGUCUAAUACCGGAUAUGACCAUCUGGCGCAUGUCAUGGUGGUGGAAAGCUUUUUUGUGGUUUUGGAUGGACUCGGGGCCUAUCAGCUUGUUGGUGGGGUAAUGGCCUACCAAGGCGACGACGGGUAGCCGGCCUGAGAGGGUGACCGGCCACACUGGGACUGAGACACGGCCCAGACUCCUACGGGAGGCAGCAGUGGGGAAUAUUGCACAAUGGGCGCAAGCCUGAUGCAGCGACGCCGCGUGAGGGAUGACGGCCUUCGGGUUGUAAACCUCUUUCAGUAGGGAAGAAGCGUAAGUGACGGUACCUGCAGAAGAAGCGCCGGCUAACUACGUGCCAGCAGCCGCGGUAAUACGUAGGGCGCAAGCGUUAUCCGGAAUUAUUGGGCGUAAAGAGCUCGUAGGCGGUUUGUCGCGUCUGCUGUGAAAGACCGGGGCUCAACUCCGGUUCUGCAGUGGGUACGGGCAGACUAGAGUGCAGUAGGGGAGACUGGAAUU
rnacentral:rRNA from 1 species